rnacentral:rRNA from 1 species
GCCCCACUGCUCCAGAAUAGCUCUUGGAAACGGGUGGUAAUGCUGGAUGCUCCAACUUGACGCAUGUCUUGUUGGAAAGUGUUUAGUGGCAUGGGAUGGGGUCGCGUCCUAUCAGCUUGUAGGCGGGGUAAUGGCCCACCUAGGCUUCGACGGGUAGCCGGCCUGAGAGGGCGGACGGCCACAUUGGGACUGAGAUACGGCCCAGACUCCUACGGGAGGCAGCAGCA